AGAACGAACGCUGGCGGCGUGCCUAACACAUGCAAGUCGAGCGAGAAAGCCCGCAAGGGUGAGUACAGCGGCGCACGGGUGCGUAACACGUGGGUAAUCUUCCUUGGAGCCCGGAAUAACUCCCCGAAAGGGGCGCUAAUGCCGGAUGAGACCACGGGAUCCUCGGAUCCUGAGGGAAAAGGCGGCCUCUGUAUACAAGCUGCCACUCCUAGAUGAGCCCGCGGCCCAUCAGCUAGUUGGCGGGGUAAUGGCCCACCAAGGCUGCGACGGGUAGCUGGUCUGAGAGGACGAUCAGCCACACUGGAACUGAGACACGGUCCAGACUCCUACGGGAGGCAGCAGUGGGGAAUCUUGCGCAAUGGGCGAAAGCCUGACGCAGCAACGCCGCGUGUGUGAUGAAGGUCUUCGGAUCGUAAAGCACUGUCGGGAGGGACGAAUAAGGUGGCGGCUAACAUCCGCCGCUGAUGACGGUACCUCCGAAAGGAGC
rnacentral:rRNA from 1 species